GCGAUGGUGGCAGCAAGUCCAUGCUGCUGCACGACGAUUUCAGUUGGAGGACCACGAGUCGAAUUUUUGGUUCCAGCUAUCGUUCCUUGUGGCAGUAGCGCUGCUCCGACCGUGGAGCCAUGUGGUGACGCGACAACAUCGAUUUGUUGGGGGUUCACGACUGUGACGUCUUGAAAUGGUGGUGCCUCCACUUCGAUCGUGGGAUCGUGGGAUGCGUGUCUUUGGGCCAUUGCGGAUUGAGCCAUUGUGGCAGUCUUGCUUCUCGUGCAUUUGCUUCUGGCCAUGGUAGUUCUGGAGGCUUCAAUUAAACGAAAAGGGAAGGAAAUAAAUUUCUUUGUUUCAAGAGCACGAACUGAGUAUAACCCGUGCUCUCAAUGAAAGCACCAAAUGUUUGUGAAAAUAAUCUCUCGGGAGAAUAUUCACUUCUUGAUCCUUCACCUUUUGAACUUAUUUCUCUCUCUUCCUUGAUUCCUGUAAAAAAGAUAGGAAUAAAUAGACCACACCCGAGAGUGUUGGUAAAAGGCCCUCUGAUGCCUAAGUUUGUUCGAUUGAAUCUAGGAAAAACAAUAGCUAAAAAAGCGUACGGAGAUUUAUUUAUGGUGAGAACCAGGCUGCCGGAGCUAUGUGUGGUGGAACUUAGCCAUGUAUGAAAAUAUGUAGAGAGGAGAGCGAUGAGGGUGACAACAAUAGUGAUGCCAUCAGCUUGGGAGAGAGAGGGAG
rnacentral:lncRNA from 1 species